GGCAGAAAGAGAGACAGAGAAAGAAAGACAUAAAGAGGGAGAGAGAACAGACGCAGCCUGCAGGGCUCAGGCUGCCUCUGGAUUAAGGUUCUAAUUCCUUCAGCAUUUUCCUUCCUUGUCUAAGAUUUGAAUCUGCUUCUAGAACUGAGUCUUACUACUCCUGAAUCUUCCAUUUUCUGUUUUGUCCAAACCCUGCCGAAAUCACAGGAGACGAUUUUUCUUUUGGUUCCUUGGCUUUUGUGCUAUAGCUGGUCUGGCCUUCCCCAUCUACUUUUCUUAGAACCCCAAACAGAUGCACCAGCUAGAGGGCAAAAUUGUACUCCAGGCAAAGCAUCUAGUUGUCACUGCAUCACAGUGGCUCCACUUACAUACGAGCACAUAGGGGACACUGCACAGCCCCUUGAUGGUGACAGUGGUUGUGGGUAACGCCUUAAGCUUCGUGGCCAGAGGUCCAGGUUGGCACCGAGGCAGUAAUCUCCUCCCUGUCCCUCCCCCCUGACAAACUGUGCAACCUCCUCCAUCAGGUACCACGGGGGGGAAGCAAGAGGCCCUUCUGAGGCUGCAAGGAAGGAGCAUCCCUCUUGUUUUGACUAUGUGAGGUUCCCAGGAUGAAGGCAUAAAUGUGGUCUCCUACUCCUCUUUCUCACCCUGCCUUCCUCAAACUAUAAUAUCAUCUUUAUUGAGAUUCCCUCCAAGAGAAAAAGACUGCAGAGAACGAGAAUUGAAGUCAUCAGUCCACCAGUACCCUACUAAAGAAGAGAACUCUGGCAGAGUACCCCACACCUCCCUCCUGCCCGCCCACCUGUACAUCUCAGUGGAGUUCUGAGAUUUCCACCUCUAGCUUGGUUUGAAUCUUAUAUAAUGAAUCUGAAUCCCGUGUCCUCAAAAUAAGCUUGGGUGUGGACUGAGUGGCAAGAAAUGGAGGGUGUCAGUCAGCCAGGGAGGGCUUGAGUUUCCAUCCCAGUGCCUGAGGCUUCCUAGAGAAAGGCAAUCAGCCCAAUUCACAGCCAACUACCUCCUCAGGAUGCAAGACCUUCUGUCCUGUCCACCUUGUGUAGCCUGUCAUCAGCACUGGCUCUAAUGAGAAUCAGUAACAGACCCUAUGGAGCAGGGCAAGGCAGUGGAUACAGUCUGUCUUAAAGUUCUUAAAACACACAUGCAGACAAUUAAAAUGGAAGUGAAACAGAAAAGGCCAGGUGAUCUUCUAGGCUCACAGAUUU